GAUGAACGCUAGCGAUAGGCUUAACACAUGCAAGUCGAGGGGCAGCGAGGGUAGCAAUCCCUGUCGGCGACCGGCGCACGGGUGAGUAACGCGUAUGUAACCUGCCCGCAACAGGGGGAUAACCCGGCGAAAGUCGGACUAAUACCGCAUAAAACAGGGGUCCCGCAUGGGAAUAUUUGUUAAAGAUUUAUCGGUUGCGGAUGGGCAUGCGUACCAUUAGGUAGUUGGUGAGGUAACGGCUCACCAAGCCUUCGAUGGUUAGGGGUUCUGAGAGGAAGGUCCCCCACACUGGUACUGAGACACGGACCAGACUCCUACGGGAGGCAGCAGUGAGGAAGAUUGGUCAAUGGGCGAGAGCCUGAACCAGCCAAGUCGCGUGAAGGAUGACUGCCCUAUGGGUUGUAAACUUCUUUUACAAGGGAAUAAGAUGAGAUACGUGUAUUUUAUUGCAUGUACCUUGGGAAUAAGCAUCGGCUAACUCCGUG
rnacentral:rRNA from 1 species